rnacentral:rRNA from 1 species
AGUGAACGCUGGCGGUAGGCCUAACACAUGCAAGUCGAACGGCAGCACAGUAAGAGCUUGCUCUUACGGGUGGCGAGUGGCGUACGGGUGAGGAAUACAUCGGAAUCUACUUUUUCGUGGGGGAUAACGUAGGUAAACUUACGCUAAUACCGCAUACGACCUACGGGUGAAAGCAUGGGAUCUUCGGACCUUGCGCGAUUGAAUGAGCCGAUGUCGGAUUAGCUAGUUGGCGGGGUAAAGGCCCACCAAGGCGACGAUCCGUAGCUGGUCUGAGAGGAUGAUAAGCCACACUGGAACUGAGACACGGUCCAGACUCCUACGGGAGGCAGCAGUGGGGAAUAUUGGACAAUGGGCGCAAGCAUGAUACAGCCAUACCGCGUGGGUGAAGAAGGCCUUCGGGUUGUAAAGACCUUUUGUUGGGAAAGAAAAGCAGCAGGUUAAUACCACGCUGUUCUGACGGUACCCAAAGAAUAAGCACCGGCUAACUUCGUG